CAGAACCGAAUGUUAACAUCUCACUUUCUAAAGAAUGUUGUGAGUUUGAUCAAUCCGGGAAGAUACAUACAUACAUACAUACACACACAUAUAUAUAUAUAUGCAUACAUUCUACUUGUUUCUGGGGACUGGACUCAGGGGCCUCUCAUAUGCUGGUCAAGUGCUGACCACGAUUCAUUUUAUUGAGACACAGUAAGUGUGGACUACAAUUAACAGGGUCAUAAGUAUAUUGUCCCGUGAGUCUGGGCACGUGGAAAAGCUCGUGUUAAGUUCGGAGAAAUACUGGAAACGCUGGCAUUUUAAAUGAGCUCUUGCAAGGGUCUGUCACAGACUUGAAGAGAAGUACAUCUUCCGCAGAUUUUAUUUGUACGUUUAUGGAAAACGUCAAAUAGCAGACUGUGCGGUUUUUCGAAAUUCUGCCCGCUUCUUUAUAUUUUUUGCGCCUAAAGUUUGUCGUUAGUUUCUUGCCGCGCACACUUUCCUCGUGCUUUUCGCGGGAGAUGUUUCCAAAAGGCGAAAUUUCAUUUUGGUUACUUGCUGGCUGGGAUCAGUUUGAUGGAUCCGGUGGGAGCGGGAGCGGCGUUCCGAUUUCUGCAGUUUCCUUAUCUUGAGUUUUCUUUCCCCCAAGCUCCGGGUUCCGCAGUGCCAGUAACGAGGUCUUCCACCUGCCCAGUCCCCUGCAAACUGCUACAGGGUAAACGGCGCUCAAAGGUGGGGGGACUCCGCCCGUUCCUACGGAUCGCGUCUCAGAAGGUGAUAAUUUGAAAAAAUCAGGUGAAAUGGGACAAGGAUUCAAGAUGCAGGGAAGAGAAGGCGAUGCUUUCAGAGCUUCAGCGCGGCGGAGUGGAGCUCUGGGAAGCGGCUUUUCAGAGUCCUUGGGCGUGAGAGCUCAGAUUGAGCAGUGCUCGGCUGCGGGGCAAUGCUCGGCUGUGGGCCACGCAUAGGGUUUCGCUCCUAGCGCGGACAAACCGGGUCUCCAAGGGUGCUGUCCGCUGUGCUCAGAGUUAAAGAGUCACCGCCUGAUCCGAGUGACUGAAACGCAGCCCGUAGCCGCGGAGCCUCCGCCUCCCUCCAGGACUGCUGGGGUCUCCGGUGGGCGUGAAUCUGGCCGUAGGCGGUCACCGCACGGUCCUAGGAUCAUCACUGCCCUUUCUCCCUCCGCACCAUGUUUUCCCUUUCAGGCCGUGCUUUUCAAACCUUAAUGUGCAUAAAAUAAGCUGGCCUCCCCACGGAACAUGCCGCGUUCUCCCACGCGGGCCGAGCGGAUUGUAAACCGGUAGGCGACCAAGUGUCGCACGGGGGAAAGCCCAGACCAGGGACUGUUGGGAAUCAGGCUGUACUCAGAGCCACCCUGCGUGGCCUCGGCCUUCGGGAACCAUGAUACUCCGUUACCGGAGCUCCUGCUCCCACAGCAUUCGGCCAGAGCAGGAAUUGGCGAAAAGCGGGAUGUUGACGCUAAAGGAACGCAGUGUCACAUGCCACCCUUUCAAGGUGCACAAGAAGGCUGCAGCCACUCAAACCUUUCAAAGGAGCAUUUAAACUUGGGAGGAGUACGAAUGGAACACGGAGGCACACCAGUGAGUGUCAACAAGACGCGCGGACUUGGCGGGAGAGCUCACAAUUCCGUAGUGCACGGGGACCCGGAGGUGGCCCCGCCUCACUCCAAACUUCACAGUCUCUGCGGGGUGUAAAGGCUUCUUUGCGCUCCCAGGGCUCUACUCGCGCGUCGCCUGUACAAACCCUCUGCUGUGUGGCCUUGUAUCUUUAGGUAGGGGACAUCUUUUGUCUCUCGGCAAGAAGCUUUCCUCCGGGGAAGAUAAAGUAAUCGAUAGGGUCUUUUUAAAUAGCUCCGAGUUUCCUGUCCGGCCAGGAGUAUCAGCGCGCACGCCAAAUCUGCUCUGUUCCCUUAGGAGCCUCUGGAGAUGUUUGAUGGAUGCUGACCCACAGGGACACCCCUGCCAGCACAGCAGGGCACUGCAGUGGCAACAUUGGCAACACUACAUUCUCUCCAGACAUCCCCAGGUCUCCACGGAAGGACUCUGUGAAGGUCUAUCUCCAAGCAGACCGUCAGAACAAUACGGACCUGAGUCCAGGAUGAUUGACACAUCCUUUGUGACCCCCAGGACCCUGCUACUGUCCCCUGACCCUAUCGAGGCUUCAACAGACUGGCAACGGGUGCCAAGGCGGCCAGCUCUCCAUGCUUCGUGGCUCCUGGCGGGAUCAGCCAAUCACAAGGUGCCUGCUUCCACUGGCUCAGCUGUGCCUCUCACGCCAGUACUGAACUAUGCUCCUGCUAGCAAAGUGUGCUUUAAAAACCCAGAAAGUAAGCAAAGAGGAAGGCAAGCAAAUAAAAUUUCCAUAUUCUUAGCUAGCUUCCAUAUAUCACCGUUGCCGUCAUCGUCGUCGUCAUCAUCAUCAUCAGUAAUGAACCCUAAAAUGCAUUUACAUGACAAAAUCACGACCUCAAUAUCACAGCAAACAGAAAUAAGAAGUAACUUCCUGGGAGUCCUUCCAGAAUUUUCUUCAGCCCUGGACCUGGGGACGAAUAUUUAAAAUACGCCUGUUGGACUGCACUGGGCUCACCUCGUGUCUUUGCUUUUCCUUUCGCGACGUUUGCAGGCCCCUGUCCCAGCACAGUUGCCUGGGAUAAGCGAGCCACAUCUGUUUCCCCCAUUUUCUUCAGCAUUCGCCUACACGUGAGCUCCAUGCUCAGCGCGCUGGUCCUAAGGAGCACGGCUAGAGACCCAGGAGCUCAGGUCUCGGCCCCGCGGUCCAGCUCAGCGCCGGAGCUUCGAAUUGCUGCCCUCUCGUGGCCAGUCAGGGGAACGCCUCGAGAGUCCCAGCCAUCCAGGAUCCCACGCAUUUCCUCCAGCUGCAGUUCACCCGCGGAGAGGAAUCUGUUCUUCAUCUCCCAGGCUCACCUAGGGGCCAAACCUUGCCUCAGCGAGGCAGCUGUGGAAAUUAAUUGGAGCAAGGAUGCUUGACUGGUGCUCCUAAGUUGGAGAACUCAGAUAAUGCCAGGUACCUGUUGGGUGUCCUACACAGUGCUAAGAGACCUGGGAUUCCUUAUGCUUGAGUUGAACCAGCAAGGGCAGGUGCACUUGUCUUUGCCACGUGAUUAGCUAAGCGAAAUGGUAUCAAUCUAUUUAUCUACCCCUCCCUUCAUCUAUACCCAUAUGACUAACUCGCCUAUCCACUCGUCUGUGUAUCUAUUCAACUACCCACCUGUCCUUCUGUCAUUACAAUUCUUCCCUGAUUAUCAGCAUCCUGAGCGCCGAGUUCUGUCACUUUGGAUACAUUUGACGUUCACUUUCCACACAUUUAAACUGCAUAUAGGAAAAGCUAGGUUAAGAUGGCAGCAGAGAAAGCAGACUAAUGUCUGUGAACUCCCCCCGCCCCCACCGUGUAUGUGAACAGCAUUUAUUGGAUUGGCCUCUUAUAGAAGUAUCUGCUCUUGGGAGGAAGUCGGGAUGCAGGUUCAUACAGCAGCCGGAGGGUUUCAUUGUGUGACACUGUGAGGCACACAUGAGCACAGCCGUCGUGUGCAGGCUGCAGGCUAACUCGGUGUGAGGAGAGGGCUGAGGGCGCGGCAUGUCCUUAGCAUGACUCUCAAGAGAUGAGAUCACAGGACAGAAGAGGAGGUGCCUGAAGAAGGGAAACCUUAGCAACUCGAUGGUUCAUCUGCCAUGGAACCCCCACAGCGGGUGUGCCCCAUUCCUGUUGGAGGCUGGAAAAACACCAAGAGCCACUUUAGCCCCUGAUUUGUAAGUUAUUUAACGAUAUUGCCCAGGAGUCCUCUGUGAAACCGGACAGAAAUGACUAGAUCAGCUGGUCUCAACCUGUGGCUCUCCACCCCCUUGGAGUAGAACCACCUUUCACAGGGAUCACCCAAGACAUAUUAGCUAUUACGAUGCAGACCAAUAGCAAAAUUACAGUUAUGAAGUAGCAACAAAAAUAUUACAGGGGUCACUGCAACUGACUUCAGGGGAGGAAUCCAAGAUUCUGACGGAACCAAGUAGGCACCCUCUACUAGCCCGUGAUGAUUUGGGGAGGUAGGAAAAGAGGGAGGAUGACAAGAAGGGAGAAAG
rnacentral:sRNA from 1 species